UACGCUUAAUCCUCCACUGACUAAUCCAAGUUUGCCGUGUUUUCUGCAAUACAAGAAGUACAGUAUAAAUAAAAGGAGUUCUGAUCCCUGGUUUCUGCAGAAAGGACUAAGAAGUUAUUGUAACAUGGGAACUCUUUGUUGUGGAAGUUCUUCUGAUGAUAGUGGUGGAAUCUCACCCUUACAGUUAGUCCUGGUGAUAAUCUUCAUCGUUCUUAUUGUUUCUGUAUUCUCCAAUCCACAACCACGACGACGGAGGUUCAUUGUGCGAAGGUUCUGAUAAAUUUCUUGAUGGUUGAUGAUUAAUUUACACUUACCUUGCAGGUAUGAUUUUUGGGUAGUUUCGUUCUUGCAAAUUCAAAAUAGAUCAGUGGCUUAAAUAUGUAUCCCCUCUGUCACAAUUUAUAUGUACUAUUUACGAAGUGAAUAAGAAAUUAAAAUCAUCCAUUUAGAUUAUGAAUCAAUCUCUAUAGCUCAACAGUGCGGUUGGUCUGCUCAGAAAUGCAACAUUUUUGGAUACAGAAGACGCAUGGUUCUUCCAAAACUUUCUUUUUCUUCCACAGUUCUGUUGGAAAAGUAAUCCAGAAUCUUGGAUGUAUUGCUUCUUACUCACCAUAAGGAGCACUGCACAGUUUUAGCUGAACACACAUAGCGGGCAGCUGAAAGUUACCGUUCAGUGCAACAAAGAAUACAAAAAUAAAACAUGAACUGCCUUAAGCAGCCCUAUCACUAUCUCCAAGUCAACUUGACAUUGAAUAGAUUUUGGUUCUAGUACCCACCAAGUCUAACUAAUGGAUGAAAAUGCAAAUGAAAGUAUUCAAACAUUUAGACAGUUGAAUGACGAUAAUUUCCACAAGAAUAAGAAGUUAGUGUUGUGACUUGUGAGAGGGGCAGGCAGACACUAUGCUCCUGCAUCAACUAGUACAAUGAAAAAAAAAAAAAAAAAAAAAAAACAGCUCCUUCUCAACAAGUGAAAAGCAAAGCAGGAUUUGAAAAUAUAAGAGAACUCGAAAAAACAGCUCCUUCAGCUUUUGAUCAAAAUGGCAGAAAAUGACCUUCCUGGCAACCAAGCCGAUGGGGACUACAGUGAAGGAAAUGUACUCUUGAUCGCGUAGGUACCCGUGGCAGCACUCCUGAAAAAAGUUUGGAUUUUCUUACUCCCAUGUCAACCACAAAUAUGUCGUUUGUUCUUGAAUGUAGCAGGAAACAUGCUAGUCACAUCCUAUCAUUUAUGACCGAGUUUCAGCUUUUGAGCCACUGUUAGUUGCGAAUUUCAAAUUUGGUCCCAGCAGCUUAUCGGAUGCUUCCAUACCCUUAAGUAGUUGAUAAGUUGCAAUCAGUGGAAGACUUGUUUAGUCACAAGUUGUUGCUUUUCUACAUUCUUUAUAUAUGACAGAGACUUGCUUAGUCAGAAGACCUUAACUACGCUUAAAUCCUCCAGUAAUCCAAGUUUGCCGUGUUCUCUGCAGUAGUAAAUAAAAGGAGUUCUGAUUCUUGGUUUUGGUACAAAAUCCUCUGCAAGACUAUUGUAUCAUGGGAACCGUUUGUUGUGGAAGUUCUUCUGAUGAUGGUGGCGGCAUCUCACCCUUACACUUAGUCUUGCUGAUACUGUUCAUUGUUCUCAUUGUUUCUAUCUUCUCCAAUCCACAACCGCGAGCACGGCGGUUCAUCGUGCAAAGAAUCUGUUGAAUUUCUUGAUGGUUGAUGAUUUAUUUACACAUACCUGUAUGAUUUUUGGGUAAAUCGUGUUUUCGUCUUAUAUGAUUGUAGAGAUUUGUGCAGAGAUAUUCUCAGAUGAUCUGCUUUCUAUUUGUUUGAACGUCUUGAAUGGGACAGGGUUUAUCAGGCAUCAACUUACAAGAGGUUAUGAAGCUGACAUCUUUGUUACGGAAAUUCUUCGUUCUUGAACAUUCGAAAUAAUAGAUCAGUGGCUAAAUAUGUAUCCCCUCUGUCACAAUUUAUAUGUACUUUAUAAAUUGAAUAAGAAAUCAAAAUCAUGAAUUUCUAUA